UUCCUGGUGGUCCAGUGGCUAAGACUCUGCACUCCCAAGGCAGAGGGCCUGGGUUCGAUCCCUGGUCAGGGAA
rnacentral:tRNA from 1 species